UAGCAGGGAGGGAGAGAGAGAGAGGUGCCUCUAGCAGGGAGGGAGAGAGUGUUGCCUCUAGGAGGGAGGGAGAGAGAGAGAGUUGCCUCUAGCAGGGAGAGAGAGAGAGAGGUGCCUCUAGCAGGGAGGGAGAGAGAGAGGUGCCUCUAGCAGGGAGGGAGAGAGAGAGGUGCCUCUAGCAGGGAGGGAGAGAGAGGUGCCUCUAGCAGGGAGGGAGAGAGAGGUGCCUCUAGCAGGGAGGGAGAGAGAGGUGCCUCUAGCAGGGAGGGAGAGAGAGAGGUGCCUCUAGCAGGGAGGGAGAGAGAGGUGCCUCUAGCAGGGAGGGAGAGAGAGAGGUGCCUCUAGCAGGGAGGGAGAGAGAGGUGCCUCUAGGAGGGAGGGAGAGAGAGAGUUGCCUCUAGCAGAGAGGGAGAGAGAGGUGCAGUUCUAUUGAGCUCAUUUUUGGACAGCUGUCUGUCAUUUUUGCUUCAAUAUAUUUCAUGGAACAAAUGUUUUCAUCUAUUGUGUGUAUAAAUAAUGUGCAUUUAAUUUAUUGUGUUUAUAAAUCUGGAACAGGGACCUUGGUCUCAGCAUUGACUCCCUGGUCUCAGCAUUGACUCCCUGUCUAAAUAAAGACACCUUGGUCUCAGCAUUGACUCCCUGUAUAAAUAAAGACACCUUGGUCUCAGCAUUGACUCCCUGUAUAAAUAAAGACACCUUGGUCUCAGUAUUGACUCCCUGUAUAAAUAAAGACACCUUGGUCUCAGCAUUGACUCCCUGUAUAAAUAAAGACACCUUGGUCUCAGCAUUGACUCCCUGUAUAAAUAAAGACACCUUGGUCUCAG